rnacentral:rRNA from 1 species
GACGAACCGUGCGAACGUUGUUCGGAUUCACUGGGCUUAAAGGGCGCGUAGGCGGCUGGCGAGGUCAGGGGUGAAAUCUUUCGGCUCAACCGGAAAACGGCCCCUGAUACCGGCCGGCUGGAGGGAGGUAGGGCGGAUGGAACUUCCGGUGGAGCGGUGAAAUGCGUAGAUAUCGGAAGGAACGCCGGUGGCGAAAGCGAUCCGCUGGACCUCUUCUGACGCUGAGGCGCGAAAGCCAGGGAGCAAGCGGG